rnacentral:tRNA from 5 species
AUGGUAGAUGACUAAUUGGUUUGUCGCUCCCUUUGGGUGGGAGACAUAUAGCGUGUUCGAGUCGCGCCUACCAUA